rnacentral:tRNA from 1 species
AGUAAUAUGGCUGAUGAUAAGCGAUAAAUUGUAAAUUUAUUUAAAAAUUAAAAUUUUAUUACUA